AUUAACGCUAGCGGCAGGCAUAAUACAUGCAAGUUGAACGGCAGCACAGGUAGCAAUACCGGGUGGCGAGUGGCGCACGGGUGCGUAACACGUAUGCAACCUACCCUAUACAGGCGAAUAACCUUUAGAAAUGAGGGCUAAUACGCCGUGGUAUUAUCUUGGGGCAUCUUGAGAUAAUUAAAGAUUUAUCGGUAUAGGAUGGGCAUGCGUCCCAUUAGUUAGUUGGUAGGGUAACGGCCUACCAAGGCUAUGAGGGGUAGGGG
rnacentral:rRNA from 1 species